GCAGUGUACCCGCGGCAAGACGGAAAGACCCCGUGAACCUUUACUAUAGCUUGACACUGAACAUUGAGCCUUGAUGUGUAGGAUAGGUGGGAGGCUUUGAAGCGUGGACGCCAGUCUGCGUGGAGCCAACCUUGAAAUACCACCCUUUAAUGUUUGAUGUUCUAACGUUGGCCCCUUACCGGGGUUGCGGACAGUGUCUGGUGGGUAGUUUGACUGGGGCGGUCUCCUCCCAAAGCGUAACGGAGGAGCACGAAGGUUAGCUAAUCCUGGUCGGACAUCAGGAGGUUAGUGCAAUGGCAUAAGC
rnacentral:rRNA from 1 species